GUGAACUAUUUGGCAACACAUAUACUAAAAUUGGAAUGAUUCAGAGAAGAUCAGCAUGGCCCCUGUACAAGGAUAACACCCAAAUUCGUGAAGCAUUUGAAGAAAGA
ensembl:snRNA U6 U6 spliceosomal RNA